AACGGCCGUACCAUGCUGAAUAUACCGGUUCUCGUUAGAUCACCGAAGUAAGCACAUUGGGCGCGGUCAGUCAGGUGGUCACUGGGUGACCACCUGGGAACACUGCGUGCCGCUG
rnacentral:rRNA from 1 species